AGAUGGUGAUUAAAAAAAAAAGCAAAAGAAAUCUCUUCAUUUUCAAGAUAGCUUCACAAAGAAAGCAACCAGACAUGGAAUCAUCUCCCACACUUCACUGCCUGCGCCUGUUGCAUGCGAUGUCCUUGGAUGCCAAAAGAUUAGGCAGUAUGAUCCACCUGGCCCAAGUAAAAGGGACCAAAGGCAUUUCUCCGUCUACAAAGUUAAGCUCCUGGCUCUAUGAAAAUGAAGAAGACAAACUGAAAGUUUUGCUCUGCAAAAAUUAAUAGGGACCUCUGGCUCUUGAGGGGACAAAAUUGUGGAUGAGUCCUCUCAUGUGGCAAUGCAUUAAGAGCAACAAAAAAGAGUUAAACUUCAGACAUCAGCCUGCACCACAGGACUGUUCUCAGCCACCCUGGUUUGCGGCAUCGCUUGCACAGUGGCACUUUUCAACACCCAGGAGAGCUCAAUACUACUGCUAUGAAGAAUGUGGACGUAAAGACCAACCUUUAUAUUUGUGUCCCUGAAUUUCUUCCACUUGAGGAAAAGGCUAUCUACUAUUGAAUAAUGUCCUGAAACAUAAUUCAGAAGCAGAAGCAGCAGAAAAAAAAUCCUGAAGUGGGGGAGAGACAUACUUCUUAAACAUUACUCAUUGGAAUUGUGGUGCAAUGUAGAAGCUGCUAUUGAUAUGCCAUAGCUGACGUGAUGGAGUACCAAGUGGACGUUCCUCAACAAUUCAGCUCCAUCUACCCUAAAAUCAUCACUAUUCUCUUACUAGGCCACAUUUUCAGGGAAUUACUCAGGAGGUGCCUGAGCUUUCCCAGACCUAAAUUCAUUUCAGCUGCAUAAUUCUUCUGGAGUAAAAGCAAGAGGCAGUGUAGUCCAUGAGUUGCUGUGAAGGUGUUAUAACAACACUCCUCACUUUUAAGGGACUCAUGGUGGUAUGUAGGAAUCUAAUUAAUUUCCUACCAUUAAUGAUUUUCCACUUUAUUGUGAACAUUGUUCUGUUUGUAUGUAGGUAUACAAAUUUGCUGUCUUGAAUGUACAGUGUUGUGAGCCACAAAGUCAUUUUAUCUACCAGGUGCUGAUUUAAAUGAAGAAAUGCUCUAUAUCGUUAAUAUAAAAAGACUGUGAGAAAUAUGUUUUCUUGAGUUAAAAUGUACUUGAAAAAUGUUCAACAUUUGAUAAUAAAUCUUCG
rnacentral:lncRNA from 7 species